rnacentral:rRNA from 1 species
AUUGAACGCUGGCGGCAGGCCUAACACAUGCAAGUCGAGCGGAAACGAGUUAUCUGAACCUUCGGGGAACGAUAACGGCGUCGAGCGGCGGACGGGUGAGUAAUGCCUAGGAAAUUGCCCUGAUGUGGGGGAUAACCAUUGGAAACGAUGGCUAAUACCGCAUGAUGCCUACGGGCCAAAGAGGGGGACCUUCGGGCCUCUCGCGUCAGGAUAUGCCUAGGUGGGAUUAGCUAGUUGGUGAGGUAAGGGCUCACCAAGGCGACGAUCCCUAGCUGGUCUGAGAGGAUGAUCAGCCACACUGGAACUGAGACACGGUCCAGACUCCUACGGGAGGCAGCAGUGGGGAAUAUUGCACAAUGGGCGCAAGCCUGAUGCAGCCAUGCCGCGUGUGUGAAGAAGGCCUUCGGGUUGUAAAGCACUUUCAGUCGUGAGGAAGGUAGUGUAGUUAAUAGCUGCAUUAUUUGACGUUAGCGACAGAAGAAGCACCGGCUAACUCCGUGCCAGCAGCCGCGGUAAUACGGAGGGUGCGAGCGUUAAUCGGAAUUACUGGGCGUAAAGCGCAUGCAGGUGGUUUGUUAAGUCAGAUGUGAAAGCCCGGGGCUCAACCUCGGAAUAGCAUUUGAAACUGGCAGACUAGAGUACUGUAGAGGGGGGUAGAAUUUCAGGUGUAGCGGUGAAAUGCGUAGAGAUCUGAAGGAAUACCGGUGGCGAAGGCGGCCCCCUGGACAGAUACUGACACUCAGAUGCGAAAGCGUGGGGAGCAAACAGGAUUAGAUACCCUGGUAGUCCACGCCGUAAACGAUGUCUACUUGGAGGUUGUGGCCUUGAGCCGUGGCUUUCGGAGCUAACGCGUUAAGUAGACCGCCUGGGGAGUACGGUCGCAAGAUUAAAACUCAAAUGAAUUGACGGGGGCCCGCACAAGCGGUGGAGCAUGUGGUUUAAUUCGAUGCAACGCGAAGAACCUUACCUACUCUUGACAUCCAGAGAACUUUCCAGAGAUGGAUUGGUGCCUUCGGGAACUCUGAGACAGGUGCUGCAUGGCUGUCGUCAGCUCGUGUUGUGAAAUGUUGGGUUAAGUCCCGCAACGAGCGCAACCCUUAUCCUUGUUUGCCAGCGAGUAAUGUCGGGAACUCCAGGGAGACUGCCGGUGAUAAACCGGAGGAAGGUGGGGACGACGUCAAGUCAUCAUGGCCCUUACGAGUAGGGCUACACACGUGCUACAAUGGCGCAUACAGAGGGCAGCCAACUUGCGAAAGUGAGCGAAUCCCAAAAAGUGCGUCGUAGUCCGGAUUGGAGUCUGCAACUCGACUCCAUGAAGUCGGAAUCGCUAGUAAUCGUGGAUCAGAAUGCCACGGUGAAUACGUUCCCGGGCCUUGUACACACCGCCCGUCACACCAUGGGAGUGGGCUGC